GACGAACGCUGGCGGCGUGCCUAAUACAUGCAAGUUGAGCGCUGAAGGUUGGUACUUGUACCGACUGGAUGAGCAGCGAACGGGUGAGUAACGCGUGGGGAAUCUGCCUUUGAGCGGGGGACAACAUUUGGAAACGAAUGCUAAUACCGCAUAAAAACUUUAAACACAAGUUUUAAGUUUGAAAGAUGCAAUUGCAUCACUCAAAGAUGAUCCCGCGUUGUAUUAGCUAGUUGGUGAGGUAAAGGCUCACCAAGGCGAUGAUACAUAGCCGACCUGAGAGGGUGAUCGGCCACAUUGGGACUGAGACACGGCCCAAACUCCUACGGGAGGCAGCAGUAGGGAAUCUUCGGCAAUGGACGAAAGUCUGACCGAGCAACGCCGCGUGAGUGAAGAAGGUUUUCGGAUCGUAAAACUCCGUUGGUAGAGAAGAACGUUGGUGAGAGUGGAAAGCUCAUCAAGUGACGGUAACUACCCAGAAAGGGACGGCUAACUACGUGCCAGCAGCCGCGGUAAUACGUAGGUCCCGAGCGUUGUCCGGAUUUAUUGGGCGUAAAGCGAGCGCAGGUGGUUUAUUAAGUCUGGUGUAAAAGGCAGUGGCUCAACCAUUGUAUGCAUUGGAAACUGGUAGACUUGAGUGCAGGAGAGGAGAGUGGAAUUC
rnacentral:rRNA from 1 species